AACCCUCGACCUUAGUUGCCAGCAUUCAGUUGGGCACUCUAAGGUGACUGCCGGCUAAAAGUCGGAGGAAGGUGGGGAUGACGUCAAAUCAUCAUGCCCCUUAUGACCUGGGCUACACACGUGCUACAAUGGGCGGUACAAAGGGUCGCGAACCCGCGAGGGGGAGCCAAUCCCAAAAAGCCGCUCUCAGUUCGGAUUGCAGGCUGCAACUCGCCUGCAUGAAGCCGGAAUCGCUAGUAAUUGCGGAUCAGCAUGCCGCGGUGAAUACGUUCCCGGGCCUU
rnacentral:rRNA from 1 species